GACGAACGCUGGCGGCGUGCCUAAUACAUGCAAGUUGAGCGCUGAAGGUUGGUACUUGUACCAACUGGAUGAGCAGCGAACGGGUGAGUAACGCGUGGGGAAUCUGCCUUUGAGCGGGGGACAACAUUUGGAAACGAAUGCUAAUACCGCAUAAAAACUUUAAACACAAGUUUUAAGUUUGAAAGAUGCAAUUGCAUCACUCAAAGAUGAUCCCGCGUUGUAUUAGCUAGUUGGUGAGGUAAAGGCUCACCAAGGCGAUGAUACAUAGCCGACCUGAGAGGGUGAUGGGCCACAUUGGGACUGAGACAGGGCCCAAACUCAUGCGGGAGGCAGCAGUAGGGAAUCGUCGGAAAUGGACGAAAGUCUGACCGAGCAACGCGGCGUGAGUGAAGAAGGGUUGCGGAUCGUAAAACUCUGUUGGUAGAGAAGAACGUUGGUGAGAGUGGAAAGCUCAUCAAGUGACGGUAACUACCCAGAAAGGGACGGCAAACUACGUG
rnacentral:rRNA from 1 species